rnacentral:rRNA from 1 species
UACGGAGGGUGCAAGCGUUAAUCGGAAUUACUGGGCGUAAAGCGUGCGCAGGCGGUUUGUUAAGUCUGUUGUGAAAUCCCCGGGCUCAACCUGGGAAUUGCGUUGGAGACUGCAAGGCUGGAGUCUGGCAGAGGGGGGUAGAAUUCCACGUGUAGCAGUGAAAUGCGUAGAGAUGUGGAGGAACACCGAUGGCGAAGGCAGCCUCCUGGGCCAGCACUGACGCUCAUGCACGAAAGCGUGGGGAGCAAACAGG